rnacentral:rRNA from 1 species
AACGAACGUUGGCGGCGUGGCUUAGGCAUGCAAGUCGAACGCGAAUCCCUGGGCAACUGGGGAGGAGAGUGGCGAAAGGGGCAGUAAGGCGUGGGUAACCUACCCUCCGGGCCGGGAUAGCUUCGGGAAACUGAAGGUAAUACCGGGCGACGCAGCGAGAUCGCAUGGUCUUGCUGCCAAAGGUCCGCCGCCGGGGGAGGGGCUCACGUGGUAUUAGCUAGACGGCGGGGUAACGGCCCACCGUGGCAAAGAUGCCUAGCAGGUGUGAGAGCACGACCUGCGCCACGGGCACUGAGACACUGGCCAGACACCUACGGGUGGCUGCAGUCGAGGAUCUUCGGCAAUGGGCGCAAGCCUGACCGAGCGACGCCGCGUGUGCGAUGAAGGCCUUCGGGUUGUAAAGCACUGUCGAGGGGGAGGAAGCCGCAAGGUUGACCUAUCCCUGGAGGAAGCACGGGCUAAGUUCGUG